CAAGAAUCGAGGCUGACGGUGCCUACUCCCUAGGCUCCGUCCAGUCCCGCUCUCUACCUUGCCUACUGCACCGUUUGUUGCUUCCUGGCGGCGUCCCGUCGCCAGGGCCUUUUGAAAGCCAAGUAUAAGCAUUGAAACUUCUGACAUACCCUAAAUCGUA
rnacentral:misc_RNA from 1 species